AUACGUAUGUCGCAAGCGUUAUCAGGAUUUAUUGGGCGUAAAGCGCGUCUAGGCGGCUUAGUAAGUCUGAUGUGAAAAUGCGGGGCUCAACCCCGUAUUGCGUUGGAAACUGCUAAACUAGAGUACUGGAGAGGUAGGCGGAACUACAAGUGUAGAGGUGAAAUUCGUAGAUAUUUGUAGGAAUGCCGAUGGGGAAGCCAGCCUACUGGACAGAUACUGACGCUAAAGCGCGAAAGCGUGGGUAGCAAACAGGAUUAGAUACCCUGGUAGUCCACGCCGUAAACGAUGAUUACUAGGUGUUGGGGGUCGAACCUCAGCGCCCAAGCUAACGCGAUAAGUAAUCCGCCUGGGGAGUACGUACGCAAGUAUGAAACUCAAAGGAAGUGACGGG
rnacentral:rRNA from 1 species